CUGAGUGAGGGAGCAAUCCCGACCUCCAACCCUUUGUGAACGCAUCAUGUUGCUUCGGGGGCGACCCUGCCGUUCGCGGCAUUCCCCCCGGAGGUAACCAAAACACUGCAUUAUUACGUCGGAGUAAAAAGUUAAUUUAAUA
rnacentral:misc_RNA from 1 species